GUACGGGGGGGGCAAGCGUUGUUCGGAAUUACUGGGCGUAAAGGGCUCGUAGGCGGCCAACUAAGUCAUACGUGAAAUCCCUCGGCUUAACCGGGGAACUGCGUCUGAUACUGGAUGGCUUGAGAUUGGGAGAGGGAUGCGGAAUUCCUGGUGUAGCGGUGAAAUGCGCAGAUAUCAGGAGGAACACCGGUGGCGAAGGCGGGUCUCUGGGCCGAAAUUGACGCUGAGGAGCGAAAGCGUGGGGAGCAAACAGG
rnacentral:rRNA from 1 species